UUAUGUUUUUCCAGCUAUAAUGUAUUCUGCACGAGCCCAGUGCUGCGGACCGCGGAUAAAACAACAGGUAUAAAUCACAGCAUUCACCCUGAGGAGCAAAGCUUGAGAAGGUCCGCUCUCCUUGAAGGUUGUUUUAUUCCUGAUUGCUUGAUUUGUACGAUUUUUACUUUUUUUUUUUUUUUAAUGUUCUGUUGAUGUUAUAGCAGCCAAUGGAAAUGAAGGCGAGUUACCCUGGAAGGAAGGUGUGCAGGGAGUUGGCAGUGUUGUGCCCAGAGCCACAGGCGCAUCCUCCAAAAGGCAAGUGAUGCCUGGCCCCCGAAGUGCAGCUUGGAGUGGAGCUGGGCCCGUGCGUCUGCCUGCCCUCCUCCCCCCCCCCCCCCCCAAGCAGAGUCUGUUGGGCUUUAGUGACAGGAAGUCACAGUGGUGUCAUUUUCAGCUGGAGAGAGAGACAGAUGCGCCCAGAUCGGUAUCACUGUCCCGGAUCAGUGACACAUUGUUGCCUCCCCAGGCUUUUGCAACCAUGGCGAACCGACUUUUUCACUCCGUCUGAGGGUCUUCUUGGUCAACGUGGUGCAAAAAGGCUGCGUUAGCAGCAGAUUGAGAUUCCUGUAUUUGGUAACCUUCUUCAGAGAAACAUUAUUAUCAUUUUGGUCCAAAUCACACUGCUGGUUGGUGUCAGUGUCGUCUGUAGGUGAGCUGAUGACAGCAAUCCCCCUCCCGACCUCUCCUGACUGUAGAGAAGAGGGGACAGCCUGCGUGGUCUCCGUGCUGGUGAAGAAGCUUGCCAGCACCCCAGACCCUCUGUGCACACUUUCUUUUGUUUUUAAUGUUUAUUUAUUUUUGAGAGAGACAGAGCAUGAGCGGAGGAGGGGCAGAGAGAGAGAGAGGGAGACACAGAAUCGGAAGCAGGCUCCAGGCUCCGAGCUGGCGGCACAGAGACCGACGUGGGGCUCGAACUCACGGACCGUGAGAUCAUGACCUGAGCCGAAGUCGGAUGCCUCAGCGACCAAGCCCCCCAGGUACCCCUCUGCGUGCACUUCCGAAGCGUUGCUGAACCGCUUUCCCAGGUGAACAGGAUAAUUGGCCCACUUUCCCCUUGGCAUCUGGGUGAACUUGGUUACACACCCUACAGAAACGCUUCCCUGGCUGUCCUGUCCUCACCGGGGGACUUCCUAGCAGACCACGUGUCACUCAUAGGUGCACGCAGCAGGAGCAGGUCGGCAUAAGAGCGUGUCACGGUCCCUCUGAUGCCACAUUCUACACGUACGUCCGCAGGUGGUGGGAAGGGGUCUUAUGGCCACUUCUGGGCAGUGAGGAAGUAUAUGCACUUGUCAUAUGCAUUUUAACAGCUGGAGAUCACAUGAUGUCACUGAGGUCAUCCCAGGGCAGGAACAGCGGAGAGAGAACAUUUCUAAGUCCCGGGUCACCGCUGGCUCCACUCUACACACUGAGCCAAAAAGCUAUGGUCACAAUGUAUCUAGAUUCAGAUAGAGAUGACAGUGGGUUCCUGGGGCGGGGAAGGAGGCGGGGAGGUGAGCCCCAGAGCCAAAAAAUAGGCCUGCUUUUCUGAUGCAACUGGAAACUCUUCAGUCACUCAGAUUAUGUUCCUAAUAUGUAUCUUCUCAUUACCUGCCUCCACUGCUGACUUGUUUUGGUGAGGACAAAUUCAGAAGGCCAAACCUCUGCAGGAAACAUCGCGAGCCAGAGAAGGAUACACCGUGUGCCGUGUUAAUGGCGUUUAGCGCCAUUUCCCCUGGUAUCAUCACGGAGUACAGACGGCUAUUAUCAUCGUGUUUCCAUUUUCCUACAAGACGUAGUUUUGAUGGAGCCAAAGGAAUCUGUCCCAAGACACCACUGAAAGACACAGAGCCGCGCGGCGGCCCCCCUCCCACGUGGCCGCUCUCCCUGCAGGAAUUAGCAGAGGCGCAGAGGGAGACAGCGCUGUCUAGAGCGGAAAGAUGCCAGGCGGGCCUCUAAGCUCGGGAGAGGCUUCACAAAAGGAGAAAACAUGUUUUUCAUCUCUCAUAAUUAGCCUUGGUAAAUAUGUAAGGAGUUGUUUUAUU